AUGGUUGUUGUUGUUCAAUAAUAAAAUUAAUCCUCAAAAAUAAAACUUGCCUAAUAUUUCUGCACUCCCUGUAGUUAUACAUAAAUGGAUGGUUGUGAUUUGGAUAUAACCCUAAUGUCAUAAAUAUAUACCUUCAAGCACCCAUGCUUAUGUAUUUUGCUGUAUUCAACUUAAACACAUUUAAUUGACCAAAAACAGAAAUGACGAGGAUUCAUACCAGGACCAUCAAAAGAAGCAAGGCCAGGCAAACCUCUGAAAAUGAGCUGGCAAAACCUUAGAACCAUAUCUCAAUAUGAUGCAGACUAGUUCAACGCCACUGCAAGCUACAGUCUCAAACACUAAUGAGUACCUCAUGGAUAAUCAAGACGGCAUCAUUUUAUUUGUAAAGGUUGAAUGUAUGUCUAAUUGUUGCAUUAGAUUUUAUUGAUGCAUAUGUCUUACAGAUUGUACAGUGUAUGUUAACAUAAAUGGCACACAGCAAAUGAAACGCUGUUAUACAUUGAACACUGUGUUUGCUAUAUGUACUAUGUCAUUGAACAUGGAAUGUGUUGUAGUGAAUGACUGCAUUUAUAGACUUAACUUGACGUACACAGACAUUGUGGUAGUUUCAUAUCUGUAAACACAUGUGAACAUGCUCUUUAAAACUGCAAAUAAAACCGUUUUUCCUUCUGUCA